GUCAAAUAAAUUUUUGGAGAAAAAGAAAAAUGAGCAUGAAUCAAAGGGUAAACUAACAAAAGGGGGAGUGAGAAAUCUAAGCGAGUAAGAGAGCAAAAGGACAUAAAAUGUUUAUGGAAAU
ensembl:ncRNA ZK892.9 ncRNA